rnacentral:rRNA from 1 species
GACGAACGCUGGCGGCGUGCUUAACACAUGCAAGUCGAACGGAAAGGCCCUGCUUGCAGGGUCCUCGAGUGGCGAACGGGUGAGUAACACGUGGGUGAUCUGCCCUGCACUUCGGGAUAAGCCUGGGAAACUGGGUCUAAUACCGGAUAGGAGCCAUUUUUAGUGUGAUGGUUGGAAAGUUUUUUCGGUGUAGGAUGAGCUCGCGGCCUAUCAGCUUGUUGGUGGGGUAAUGGCCUACCAAGGCGGCGACGGGUAGCCGGCCUGGGAGGGUGGACGGCCACAGUGGGACUGGGAUACGGCCCAGACUCCGACGGGAGGCAGCAGGGGGGAAUAUUGCACAAUGGGCGCAGGCCUGAUGCAGCGACGCCGCGGGGGGGAUGACGGCCUUCGGGUUGUAAACUCCUUUCGCUAGGGACGAAGCUUUUUGUGACGGUACCUAGAGAAGAAGCACCGGCUAACUACGUG